rnacentral:lncRNA from 10 species
AUGUGCUUCUGUCCAUCAUCUGGGUCAUAUAUAGUUCAAUGCGAGCUGAGCAGACAGGGCUGCAAGGAAAUCUGGCGCGGUUCAAUACCUCGUCUAGCCUGGGUUCCAGUAUCUAAUUUUUUUUUUGUUUUAACUGACAAACUCAUUUCUCUACUGGGACAGGAUGCUGUGCUGGCUGGAAGUUCCAUUUCUACAGCAAGAAUCCUAUCUGGAAACACAGAAGUUGUCCUCUAGCCACAGCAGCUCGAACUUUUUUGAUUGUCGUUGCUGCUUUCUCCCAUCACCCCCAUCCCCUUUUGACAAAGAUCCAACUGUAAAAAGUCUUACGUAACAGUUCAGGACUACUUCGGUUCUUUUACUGGAUGCAGAAUCUACCUACAUUCGGCUGAAAAUCAGAUGGAAGAAUCCACAGAGGAAAGGAAGGAAAGGCGAACUGUCCUGUGGAAAGCACAGCUGCAGGGAUAGUAGAAAGUAACAGGCUCUCGAUCCGUGGGAGGUGGUCACUUUGGAGGACAGAUAAGUCAUCCUCAGAGAACGAACACAAUGAAGGAAAUUCCAGCCUAUUCAUGUUCUCCUCUCAGGCUGUACCUCAACAAGAUCCAACUGGACUUUGUGAUCUCAUAACCUGUCAAGGGGCCUGGCAUGGAGUAGAUAAUAAAUGUUUUUUUUAAUCAAAUGAAUUUUUAACUUUUUUUAUCAAACGAAUUUUCUUGUAAUUUCUAGCACAAUUAUAUUUAUAACUUAGGAAGUAAUCUUCUCCUUGAACCAAGCACAGGAUACCUUCAGCUAUCUAUCUGUCCCACACAUUGCAGUUUCAGCCUAUAUAUAAUUUUAAUAGCUACCAAAUAU